rnacentral:rRNA from 1 species
UGGGGAAUAUUGGACAAUGGGCGCAAGCCUGAUCCAGCCAUGCCGCGUGAGUGAUGAAGGUCUUCGGAUUGUAAAACUCUUUCGCCGGGGAAGAUAAUGACGGUACCCGGAGAAGAAGCUCCGGCUAACUUCGUGCCAGCAGCCGCGGUAAUACGAAGGGAGCUAGCGUUGUUCGGAAUUACUGGGCGUAAAGCGCACGUAGGCGGAUUUUUAAGUCAGGGGUGAAAUCCCAAGGCUCAACCUUGGAACUGCCUUUGAUACUGGAAGUCUCGAGAUCGGGAGAGGUGAGUGGAAUUCCUAGUGUAGAGGUGAAAUUCGUAGAUAUUAGGAAGAACACCAGUGGCGAAGGCGGCUCACUGGCCCGAUACUGACGCUGAGGUGCGAAAGCGUGGGGAGCAAA